rnacentral:rRNA from 1 species
AUGCACGCUGGCGGCGUGCCUAAUACAUGCAAGUCGAGCGAACAGACGAGGAGCUUGCUCCUCUGACGUUAGCGGCGGACGGGUGAGUAACACGUGGAUAACCUACCUAUAAGACUGGGAUAACUUCGGGAAACCGGAGCUAAUACCGGAUAAUAUAUUGAACCGCAUGGUUCAAUAGUGAAAGACGGUUUUGCUGUCACUUAUAGAUGGAUCCGCGCCGCAUUAGCUAGUUGGUAAGGUAACGGCUUACCAAGGCGACGAUGCGUAGCCGACCUGAGAGGGUGAUCGGCCACACUGGAACUGAGACACGGUCCAGACUCCUACGGGAGGCAGCAGUAGGGAAUCUUCCGCAAUGGGCGAAAGCCUGACGGAGCAACGCCGCGUGUGUGAUGAAGGUCUUCGGAUCGUAAAACUCUGUUAUUAGGGAAGAACAAAUGUGUAAGUAACUAUGCACGUCUUGACGGUACCUAAUCAGAAAGCCACGGCUAACUACGUG